UGGAAGGGUACCUUAGGUCCUGGUGAUCUUCACAGCCUUUUAAUUGGAACCAUUAACCGUUGGAGGUCAGCUGUUCAAACGUGUAACCCAUGCAGGGCAUUGCAUCACACUGGGAGUGCAGAAAGAGAUCCAAGCAAAUGGCUCGUGAAGUGUCUUUCUAAAGGUCGAUGGGGAUGUAGAGGGAAGGCUCGGCCGUGAACAUGGAUGCCCUCUGUGGUGAUGUAGACAAAGAACACGAAGCAUACGCUGCCCAGUGCUGAGACCUCUGCGCCUUGAACAGCAAAGGGAAAAUGUGUUCUGGAGAGCACUGAAGAGAGAGCAGCUGGGGCGCUUCUAAGCAGACGAGAUCAUCAAGUUUCCCUUAAAGUAACUGGUUUCAGAUGCAUUUUGAUGAGGCCAUGCUGUAGGCAGGAUGCGGCUAUUUUAAAAGGCCUGAUGGAGGCUGGGCGACAUUCUUCAUAAACGCCAGUGACGGGGUUCCCUGUUCUCAUGGAGUGUCGGGAUGCUUUGGAAACCCUGUAUGUACUUACGGCGAAUGACCACACCGGGACAGCUUGUCAGGAGGCAGGAGUGACGUCACCUGUCAAUUUCUCUGGCUCAGUUAGCCCUACCCCAAAGGCCCUGCCUGUGCCCUGCAGCACUUUCCCGAAGGGCAGAGGGGCCUUGGAGGAGGAAGGUUGGUAAGCAUGCCUCAGCUGGGGUCUGGAAGGCCUCCCCACUCACCACAACAGCUUCCUAGACACCCAUGGGGAUGUGAAAAUAUGAUAGUGGCUGUAACUCAGUUGGUAGAGUGCUCGCCUAGAGUGCAUGAGGCCCUGGGUUCGAACCCUGGCCUGGCAGAGAACAAACCAUUCAACAACCAACCAACCAACCAACCAACCAAUCACACAGACCCUCUUUGAACAAGAGCAAGACAGCAGAAGGAAGGAUGUAAAAGUUAAGCCU
rnacentral:lncRNA from 1 species